AUUGAACGCUGGCGGCAGGCCUAACACAUGCAAGUCGAGCGAGCGGCGGACGGGUGAGUAAUGUAUGGGGACUGCCCGAUAGAGGGGGAUAACUACUGGAAACGGUGGCUAAUACCGAAUACUAUCGGAUAACCCAUAUGGGAUUAGCUAGUAGGUGUGGUAAAGGCUAACCUAGGCGACGAUCUCCAGCUGGUCUGAGAGGAUGAUACGCAGCACUGGGAAUAGGACACGGCCCAGACUACUACGGAGGGAGCAGGGGUGAAUAGUGCACAAGGGGCGAAAGCCUGAUGCAGCCAUGCCGCGUGUAUGAAGAAGGCCUGAGGGUUGUAAAGUACUUUCAGCGGGGAGGCGUGACCCGCAGAAGAAGCACCGGCUAACUCCGUGCCAGCAGCCGAGGUAAUUC
rnacentral:rRNA from 1 species